GGGCGCGUGGUGAAAUUGGCAUACACGCAGGAUUUAGGUUCCUGUGCCGCAAGGCGUGAGGGUUCGACCCCCUCCGCGCCCACCA
rnacentral:tRNA from 3 species